CAAAGGUUUGGUCCUAGCCUUACUAUUAAUUGAAAUUAUAUUUAUACAUGUAAGUAUCAGCAUUCCCGUGAAAAUGCCCUUUUUUACCAGUUAGCAAAUAAGGAGUAAAUAUCAGGCACACCUUAUUUGCCCAUGACAUCUUGCCUAGCCACACCUCCACAGGAAUUCAACAGUAAUAAACAUUGAGUAAUAAGCGUCAAUAAGCUUGAAUCAGUAAUAAUUUUUAAAGUUGGUAAAUCUCGUGCCAGCCACCGCGGUUAUACGAGAGACAUAAAUUAAUAAAAACGGCCUAAAGCGUGGUUAAAUUAUAUUAUUAAAAAUAGAAAUAAAAAUUAACUUAACUGUUGUACGUAUAUGUUAAACGUAAAAUUAAAAUCGAAAGAUAUUCUAAUUAACAAAUUAUUUGAACCCACGAAAGCUAAGAAACAAACUAGGAUUAGAUACCCUACUAUGCUUAGCCUUAAACUUUGAACUUCCGCCCGAGUACUACGAGCCACAGCUUAAAACUCAAAGGACUUGGCGGUGCUCUAUACCCCCCUAGAGGAGCCUGUUCUAUAAUUGAUAAUCCCCGCUAAACCUCACCACUUAUUGCUAAUCCCGUUUAUAUACCGCCGUCGUCAGCUCACCAUUUAAGUGUUUAAUAGUAGGCAUAAUAAUAAACAUAAAAACGUCAGGUCAAGGUGUAGCGAAUUAAGUGGAAAGAAAUGGGCUACAUUUUCUAUACAGAAAAUACGAAAAAUUUUAUGAAAAAACAUUUAAAGGUGGAUUUAGCAGUAAAAAGAAAAUAGAGUGUUCUUUUUAAAUAGGCCCUAGAGCGCGCACACACCGCCCGUCACCCUCUUCAUUAAAAAAAAAUUACAAUAUAAUAACAAAUAUAUUAAUAAAGAAGAGGUAAGUCGUAACAUGGUAAGUUUACCGGAAGGUGUACUUGGAUUU
rnacentral:ncRNA from 1 species